rnacentral:rRNA from 1 species
GACGAACGCUGGCGGCGUGCUUAACACAUGCAAGUCGAACGGAAAGGCCCUGCUUUUGUGGGGUGCUCGAGUGGCGAACGGGUGAGUAACACGUGAGUAACCUGCCCUUGACUUUGGGAUAACUUCAGGAAACUGGGGCUAAUACCGGAUAGGAGCUCCUGCUGCAUGGUGGGGGUUGGAAAGUUUCGGCGGUUGGGGAUGGACUCGCGGCUUAUCAGCUUGUUGGUGGGGUAGUGGCUUACCAAGGCUUUGACGGGUAGCCGGCCUGAGAGGGUGACCGGCCACAUUGGGACUGAGAUACGGCCCAGACUCCUACGGGAGGCAGCAGUGGGGGAUAUUGCACAAUGGGCGGAAGCCUGAUGCAGCAACGCCGCGUGCGGGAUGACGGCCUUCGGGUUGUAAACCGCUUUCGCCUGUGACGAAGCGUGAGUGACGGUAAUGGGUAAAGAAGCACCAGCUAACUACGUG